UUUUCCGGUUGAUCCCGCCGGAGACUACUGCUAUUGGAGUUCGAUUAAGCCAUGCGAGUCGAUUGCCGUAAGGCAAGGCGGACGGCUCAGUAACACGUGGAGAACCUGACCUCAGGAAGGGGAUAAUCCCAGGAAACCGGGAAUAAUACCCUAUAGGAAUAGGAUGCUGGAAUGCUUCUAUUCCCAAAGCUCUGGCGCCUGAGGGUGGCUCUGCGGCCUAUCAGGUAGUAGUGAGGGUAACGGCCUCACUAGCCGACGACGGGUACGGGCCCUGAGAGGGGGAGCCCGGAGAUGGACUCUGAGACACGAGUCCAGGCCCUACGGGGCGCAGCAGGCGCGAAACCUCCGCAAUGCCCGCAAGGGUGACGGGGGAACUCCAAGUGCCUACGCUAAGCGUAGGCUGUUCAAGUGCCUAAAAAGCACUUGGAGUAAGGGCUGGGUAAGACGGGUGCCAGCCGCCGCGGUAAUACCCGCAGCCCAAGUGGUAGUCGCUUUUAUUGGGCCUAAAGCGUCCGUAGCCGGUUUGGUAAAUGCCUGGGUAAAUCGUGGGGCUUAACCUCACGAACUCCGGGUAGACUGCCAGACUUGGGACUGGUUGAGGGAGAGGGUACUCUAGGGGUAGGGGUGAAAUCCUGUAAUCCUUGGAGGACCACCGGUGGCGAAAGCGCUCUCCUAGGACGGGUCCGACGGUGAGGGACGAAAGCCAGGGGAGCAAACCGGAUUAGAUACCCGGGUAGUCCUGGCCGUAAACGAUGUGGGCUUGGUAUUGGAGGUCCCACGAGGGCGCCCAGUGCCGUAGCGAAGGCGUUAAGCCCACCGUCUGGGGAGUAUGGUCGCAAGGCUGAAACUUAAAGGAAUUGGCGGGGGAGCACAGCAACGGGAGGAGCGUGCGGUUUAAUUGGAUUCAACGCCGGAAAUCACUAGU
rnacentral:rRNA from 1 species